CAAAUUAAACCCUCAAGCUUAACACUUCUGCCCUAAAUUCAUAGCCGCUAGCUGUGUAACUUACCGUCGGCCCUAAUUUCAAAUCUAUUUUCUGGAUAGAACUCCGAUUGAAGGCAUGUGUAUCUUACUCAAUUGAUUUAUUUCUUCUAUUGUACUUAUUUCUUUUGAUUCGGUGUCGUGACAGUUCUAUAAAGUUUCGAUUUUGGUUUAACGGUGGGGAACGGAGAUCUGUUAGGAGACAAGGUUUGAUAGAAUCGGCGAGGUUUCUGAGUUGUGCGAGUAGCGGACGUGUGAUGAGGGAGCCAUCUAUGCUUGUGAGGGAGGCUGCGGCGGAGCAGCUCGAGGAGAGGCAGAGCGAUUGGGCUUAUUUUAAGCCUAGACAUUCACGGUCUUUGUCGGCGACUUUACAGCCUAGACAUUCACGGUCUUUGUUGCAAACAUCGUCUUUCUUCUCAUUUGAUUCAUUGCCGCUAUUAAAUUCAGCCGCCGCUUUUGGUGUUGAUGGAGGAGAAGUUCCGUUUUGGUGUCGAUUGAGGUUUCAGAUUGGUCUAAUUUGGUGAAGGAAUAACCGAGAGAAGGCUUUGUACAAUUGAGAUGGAAUCAAAACGAUUGGUUUGGCGCAAUUCCAGGAGCGUUGAAGGAGCUGCAAGAAUCACGUUGGAGGGUAAGAGAUGGAGAUUUAAUUUGGGGAUUUAAAGGAUUGAAGAUGGAGAAGGCGAAGGAUUUUGUGUUGAUUUUUGAAAUUUACAUGCAGAUGGUAGAACGAUGCCACAAAGUUCUUGUUCGAAAGGCGCUGGAAGUGAUUACAAGUUUAUAGAUGGAUGGAAUUUGUAUGUCUUGAUUUCACGAUAUCUUUCAAAUUGUUUCUAAUCGUGCCUGUUAUUUGGUAUUAUGGAUUGCAGAUACUAUAACUCACUUCCACCAAUAACCAAGGUUUUACAUGUUUCAGUUGAUUGAUAAUGUGCAUGUUGGUCUAAACGAUUCUCUUUUACUUUGCAUUCUUCUGUUGGAUUGUGGCUUAUGUGUUUUGUUUUCCUUGUUGUUCAUUUUUUUUCCAGACCUUCAUAAAAGGGAUUUGACUGAAUGGGAGGAAAUUCAAUGAAGAUGUUGCAAAUUACGUGUAUGUUUGAUUUUUGCAAUCAUAUUGUUGAAAGUUUUCUUUGUUUUUAUAUCGUGUAAAGAGUUUAUGCAUAUUGUGAUAAUUAGAUAUAAGUUAAUAGAUCUCAGUUUGUUUUUUUUAAUUGGUUAUAUGGCUGGCCUGCAACUGCUCAUUGGGCUGUUUCAAAAUAGACAAAGGAGUUAAAGUGAAGCCAAGAAAGUCGUUUACUCUUAAGGCUACUAAAGCAACAUGAAUAAGAAGACGUCACCUGUCCCAUCUUAAUAUACAUGGCCAAUGCAAGAAGAUGAGCAAGCUUGGAUGGGUUAUAUCUCAAGAAGUUAGUUUAUCCUUAUGAUGUUAGUUUUAUUUUGGUU